rnacentral:rRNA from 1 species
UACAGAGGUCUCAAGCGUUGUUCGGAUUCAUUGGGCGUAACGGGUGCGUAGGCGGCGCGGUAAGUCGGGUGUGAAAUCUUGGAGCUUAACUCCGAAACUGCAUUCGAUACUGCCGUGCUUGAGGACUGGAGAGGAGACUGGAAUUUACGGUGUAGCGGUGAAAUGCGUAGAUAUCGGGAGGAACACCGGUGGCGAAGGCGGUUCUCUGGGCCUUACCUGACGCUGAGGAGCGAAAGCGUGGGGAGCGAACAGG